AGCUGUGGAGACGGAUGGGAAUGGCGGCUGUGUAGCAGUGGGAAGACACUCGAUGCCUCAGAACUGUACACUUAAAAAUGGCGAAAAUGGUAAAUUUUCAGUUCUGUGUAUAACAAUAAAAAGGCAAAUGUGAGUUCACUAAGGUAAAGUCACGCCAAAUAAUCUUAUUUUCUAUGUGGUUGAGUUGGCGGCCUGGGGAUCAGAAGUGAUUUCACAGACAUUCAUUCAUCCUGAAUGCAGGGAAGCAGCUAGUGCGGACAGGAAAGGAAGACUUGGUGACAGCGCAUCCUGUAGAGUCAGAGCUCGUUAAACAAGGAACCCCAGACAGACCUCCCACAGCUCUCCUGCAGGCUGUCCAGGCUAAGGGCAUCGAGAAUCUUGUUUCCAUGCACCAACAUUUUAAACAAAUGACUGCAGACAGAGUUUCAAGCAAUAAAAGAAACAAACAGACCUCGUAUCUCAUUACUGCUGAAGACUUGCCCCGGAGGCAUCGAGCUUGGCCAGGCCAGGCCUCUCAUGUGGAACCGUUCAGCCCCACAGAGUAUGUAACCCCAUGAAACCACAUAUGAGUAAGAAUCUUCUGUGUGAUCCUUCUUGAGACAUCUCCAGACUUUGGUGUGUGGCCCAGCAAUCCACAGCAGAAAG